rnacentral:rRNA from 1 species
UACGUAGGGUGCAAGCGUUAAUCGGAAUUACUGGGCGUAAAGCGUGCGCAGGCGGUUUUGUAAGUCUGUCGUGAAAUCCCCGGGCUCAACCUGGGAAUUGCGAUGGAGACUGCAAGGCUAGAAUCUGGCAGAGGGGGGUAGAAUUCCACGUGUGAGCAGUGAAAUGCGUAGAGAUGUGGAGGAACACCGAUGGCGAAGGCAGCCCCUGGGUCAAGAUUGACGCUCCAUGCACGAAAGCGUGGGGAGCAAACGAGGAUACGAAA